CACGGCCUCGCCAACGUCGGCCCGUGAACCCCGCCAGGCCCGGAAGGGAGCAACGGUAGCGGUCACCGGCGUGUGGCGGGGCCUUUCAU
rnacentral:SRP_RNA from 1 species